AGCAGCCGCGGUAAUUCCAGCUCCAAUAGCGUAUAUUAAAGUUGUUGCAGUUAAAAAGCUCGUAGUUGAAUUUCGGGGUUAGUAGGUUGGUCAUGCCUCUGGUAUGUACUGGUCUCACUGAUUCCUCCUUCCUGAUGAACCUUAAUGCCAUUAAUUUGGUGUUUUGGGGAAUUUGGACUGUUACUUUGAAAAAAUUAGAGUGUUUAAAGCAAGCUAACGCUUGAAUACAUUAGCAUGGAAUAAUGAAAUAGGACGUUCGAUCCUAUUUUGUUGGUUUCUAGGAUUGACGUAAUGAUUAAUAGGGAUAGUUGGGGGCAUUAGUAUUCAAUUGUCAGAGGUGAAAUUCUUGGAUUUAUUGAAGACUAACUACUGCGAAAGCAUUUGCCAAGGAUGUUUUCAUUAAUCAAGAACGAAAGUUAGGGGAUCGAAGACGAUCAGAUACCGUCGUAGUCUUAACCAUAAACUAUGCCGACUAGGGAUAGGAUGAUGUUAAUUUUUUAAUGACUCA
rnacentral:rRNA from 1 species